AGAGUUUGAUCAUGGCUCAGAACGAACGCUGGCGGCAUGCCUAAUACAUGCAAGUCGAACGCGCCUAGCAAUAGGCGAGUGGCGGACGGGUGAGUAACGCGUGGGAACCUGCCCUUGAGUGCGGGAUAACCGAGGGAAACUUCGGCUAAUACCGCAUGCGCCCCGGGCAACUGGGGGAAAGAUUUAUCGCUCGAGGAGGGGCCCGCGUCGGAUUAGCUAGUUGGUGGGGUAACGGCCUACCAAGGCGAUGAUCCGUAGCUGGUCUGAGAGGAUGAUCAGCCACACUGGGACUGAGACACGGCCCAGACUCCUACGGGAGGCAGCAGUAGGGAAUAUUGGACAAUGGGGGCAACCCUGAUCCAGCAAUGCCGCGUGAGUGAUGAAGGCCUUAGGGUUGUAAAGCUCUUUCGCGCGCGACGAUGAUGACGGUAGCGCGAGAAGAAGCCCCGGCUAACUUCGUGCCAGCAGCCGCGGUAAUACGAAGGGGGCGAGCGUUGUUCGGAAUUACUGGGCGUAAAGGGCGCGCAGGCGGCCUUUCAAGUCAGGCGUGAAAGCCCCGGGCUUAACCUGGGAAUUGCGCUUGGGACUGGAGGGCUUGAGUUCGGGAGAGGAGAGUGGAAUUCCCAGUGUAGAGGUGAAAUUCGUAGAUAUUGGGAAGAACACCGGUGGCGAAGGCGGCUCUCUGGACCGAUACUGACGCUGAGGCGCGAAAGCGUGGGGAGCAAACAGGAUUAGAUACCCUAGUAGUCC
rnacentral:rRNA from 1 species